rnacentral:rRNA from 1 species
UACAGAGGUGGCAAGCGUUGUUCGGAAUUACUGGGCGUAAAGGGCGCGUAGGCGGUCUUCUAAGUCUUGUGUGAAAUCCCUCGGCUCAACUGAGGAACUGCACGGGAUACUGGGAGACUUGAGUUCGGGAGAGGGAAGCGGAAUUCCGGGUGUAGCGGUGAAAUGCGUAGAUAUCCGGAGGAACACCGGUGGCGAAGGCGGCUUCCUGGACCGACAUUGACGCUGAUGAGCGAAAGCCAGGGGAGCAAACGGGG